GCUAGGCUUUGGGUGAAUAUUUCAUGCCUUUUGUUCACUUCUUUCUGCCUGGUGUAAUUGCUUCAUAAGGUGCAUGUGUACAAAGAAAUGUCCCAGAAAAGAAUUGAACACUUGAAGUACCAUAAGAAGAAGCCUCAUUAGUCGACCAUUUUAGUUAAAGGAAUCACACAGUCCGUAGAUGAUGGUGCUUAUGGGUGUCGUGCUCUGAAAGCACUAUCGCCAGAGGAUGGACGGCAGUGUUCGGUGCUGAGCUGUCGAUUCUAGCCUAGCUGCUUGCCUGGAUCCUCCGCAGAUGAUGUUCGACGACCGACGUCUUUGCGGCGGCGUGGAUACGCAGGGUCUGAUGGCUGGGGGGCUUCUGUGUCAUGUAGGAGGGAGGUCGAGCUGCCCCUAAGCAAGUAACCCGUCGACAUCGGUAUCCAAAGUGUCACUAGGAAGAGUAAACGGAAGCUCCACUUUCAGAGGAAGACCCACCAACUCUAUGCAAGUGGUAUUACUGGCUUCAAUGGUUAGUGUGAUUUUCCUGUUAUGCCGGUGCUACCUUAUGUUUCUUCCUAUGAAAAUGGUACUCCCUCAGUUCCAUUCUAUAGUGCCUAUAGUUUUUUGGCACGGAAAUUAGCGCAAGAGUAUUUUUUACACAAGACCCCUAGCUAAACGAUUUUAGAUCAACGUAAAAUUUGGGAAAUCCAUAUCUUCCUAACUUACCAUAACAAAUUUGGGAGCUGAACGAUUUGGGAGCUGAACGGGGAGGAGGUAACUGAAAAAAAGCUAAGCUACAACCUUAUAUUCUGAAACAAAUGCCAAAAAUUUAUAGGCACUAUAGAAAGGAACGGAGGGAAAAUGUGCACAUGGAAGUAUAACCAUUAAAACGGGAAAAUGUGAAUGAGAGAAAUGUUUUAUAAUUGAAUCCCUCCACGGUGAAAAAUAUAAACUAUGAAAACCCCAUUAAGUUCAUCUUACAAAAACCCCUUGCACUAUUCCUUGUCACUUUUUCAUUCAUAUGCACCAAUGAUGAUCUAAUUCCAUGUUGAAAGAAAAUUCUAACUCAGCUGGUGAUUGGAGGCCGGCUGCCACUGAUCACUAGCCUCCUCCACUGCUGAUGUUCGACGGUUGGUGUCUUCACGGUGGCGCCCGACUGUAGGUGGUCGAGCUGUUUGCCUGCAAUUGCCACCACAUCAACCUCAACGCUGCCUUUCAAGAGCUCGUCAACAUCGACCUACAAAGCAUUGUGGCAAGACAUCACAACGGUGCCUGCAAGUGGGACUGCAACUCCCAUGGGCCUGAAUAAGACCUCUAGUCCUUGCCACUGCCACCGGCGUCAUGUUGCCGGUGGUCGCUUGCCCCGCUGGAUACUCCCAGGAACGCAGGCGCUGGGUCCAGCUUUCAGCCGCCUGAGGUGUGGAAUGUGGUAGCAGCGUGAGCGAUGCAAGAAGACGGUUGUAGCAAGAUGCAUGGUGAGCUACAAGAUUUAUGUUUAACCUUCAUUCAGUGUUCAUUGUAGCAGCUAUUAGUUCUCUUUCAAGGCCAUGAUGUUUUCCAUCUUCCUGCACUAGCACUCUUCUUAGAGGUGCUACAGCCAAUGAAUGUGGA